UACAGAGGAUGCAAGCGUUAUCCGGAAUGAUUGGGCGUAAAGCGUCUGUAGGUGGCUUUUUAAGUCCGCCGUCAAAUCCCAGGGCUCAACCUCGAGACGUCGGUUGAAACCACCUGGCUAGAGUCCGGAAGAGGAGAGUGGAAUUCCUGGUGUAGCGGUGAAAUGCGCAGAUAUCAGGAAGAACACCCGUGGCGAAGGCGGCUCUCUGGGACGGUACUGACGCUGAGACGCGAAAGCGUGGGGAGCGAACAGG
rnacentral:rRNA from 1 species